AAGCAUGUGAAGAUGCUGGUAAGCCACGAGCCACGUGGCAAGGAGCUGACUCCAGAGAUGAUCGGAAAGUGAGAGGCAUGUAUUCCCUCCCGAGGAGCCGACUCCAGAGAUGAUCGGAAAGUGAGAGGUUGCCACUGUUGUACCAAUGGGCCCGUCUUACCUGUCUGCCUCUCUUUUCCUGGACUCCUUGGGGGCAACAGCUGUUUACAUUAUCUCUCGUCUCAUUUUGUGCAUUAUCUACAGGAAACAGCAGUUCAUUGGCUUUUGUUAACUGGCAAGAUAGCCUUUCUUUGUUUUAAACAAUUUCUGGCCGGUAGGAAUGAAUCCUUUCCUCUCUAAUUUUCCAAUUGUGUCAGCACAGUACUCCUUGAUAGCGACAGGCUUUGCCUCCAGCCUCCACCGUAAGGUGACGUAGGAUGGCAUGCCAUGCUGGGCAGCACAGUGUGUCCUGCAAAACUGCAUUCCUCGGUGAUCAAUGGUCAUCAAAGAGGAGUCUUCUAAUCUGCCUCCCCAGCCAUUUAGUAACAACAACAACAACAAAAAAAAUCAUCUUAUCCUGUGAGCCACACCCAACACUGGGGGCCGGGACUGGUCCGUGAGGCGGAGUUCCCUGAUGCUGACAGGCACAUCACUAACUAGGUGGUGGUUGGCCCAAUCCUGCGUGCGCGUUUGAUACUACUUGUGGGGUCUGCGGGGAACUAUAGCCACCCUCCCGCCUACCCUGGGAAUUUUGUCUAGAUCUUAGCUGUCUUUUGUCAGAAAAGCAUAAGAUUAUUCUCCUUAAUUUUAUUUGUACGCCAGGGUGUGGUGACAGAGAACUUCAGCUCCAGUACUCAGCAGGCAGAUCUGUGAGAACUCCCUGAGAGUGUGAGGCCAGCCUGGACUACGUAGUGAGUUCCAGGCCGGUGGGGCGCCAUAGUGAGAUCCUCUCUCCAAGACCAAACAAACAAAGACUGAUUUGUGAUGGGACUGUGUACUACGUGGGAAGGGCACAUCAAGGAAGACUACGUUUUCUCACUCUGGCGGCAGAUUGUGUCAGUAACGGAUGUCGGACGGUGUUUUUGUCCCUGGAAAGCCUUUCAUGAAAACCAUGGAUUAAGUUGCAGUGUUGGAAUCUGCUUCUGGGGUGACAGUGAUCUCUGUCAAUGGCUGCCUAAGGAGCUCCACUUCGGUUUGGUUCUUUUAGUUCUGUAAUACAUUUCGCAGAGAGUAGAGCUAGUGUGUCCAUAAAAUAAUUUAGGGAUGUGUGGUAGCAUUUAGCUCGAUCCCUCCCACACCCAGCAUGGCGCCUCCACUCCUCCUUACCAGGGGACAAAAUGAAAAAUGGUGAACAUUCAGGUUCCCUGGCAGGAGGUGAGCCGAUGUGGGUGAAGCUCUAGGCAGUGUACUGAAGUGGGGUGUCAGUGGGUGGGGUUCUAGUCAGUGUACUGAAGUGGGGUGUCAGUGGGGUUCUAGUCAGUGUACUGAAGUGGGGUGUCAGUGGGGUUCUAGGCAGUGUACUGAAGUGGGGUGUCAGUGGGUGGGGUUCUAGGCAGUGUACUGAAGUGGGGUGUCAGUGGGGUUCUGGAAAAGCCACUGCUUUGCUGAUAAAGUACAGUUUUGAUGGCUGCCUCUCCUACCCCCCUCUCCUUCCCCCUUCCCCAUCUUGUCUUGAAAGCAGAUUUAUGGUAGCCAUCCUGAGUUUAAGGAGCAUUUUACUCGAGUUUACAAAAAAAGAUAAGCCAGUGAGGUCAGGGAGCCUUUUACAACUCUGUGGAAUGAUAGUUUAUGAAGUAGCAUUUCUCUAUAAUUAUGGGGAAAAUUAGGCAAAUACUAGCUAAAUUCUGAGAGAGAGUUUUCUGUUUGUUUGUUCAUUUACUUAAUAAUUCUUGGUUAAAGAUUUCCUCGAUGCAAAGUAUAAAGAUUAAAUAAAUGACCUCAUUGUCAAAGGUCAAUUCAUGCACA